rfam:Alpha proteobacterium BAL199 1103548001539, whole genome shotgun sequence.
GGCGCGGGACGACCCGGCAGCUUUCCUGCUCGAUCGAUGGGGACGACCCCA